GAGAAAAAGACCUCAGAAAUAGGCACUCUUCUGCAGAUCCCUCUGUGAAGAAAAACUUUCUAAACAUCAAGGAUUAAAAAAAUAAGAACACCUUUCUCCCAUGGCAUUUUAUCUCAUCUCGGGUCCAGAGCAGUAUAGUUGGACAGCCAUGGACUGAGACCUCUGAAAUUAAGACAAGAACUGAGGAAUAAUACUGCCCAGUAAUGGUGUACUCCAUUUUCUGCUUUCUACUGAAUCCUCAACAAAAUCUACAUGAAUGCAGAUUUUCUGGAAGAGUAUUUUUGGGUAUUGACCAUCACAUAAAGUGACUGAAGCAUAAUAUAGAAAGGAUUUGGAGGACAACUUAGAAAUGAAAGCUGAUGGAACUGUCAUAAUUUGGAUUUAUUUGGCAUCUAAAAGCAAAGAAAACAGGGUCAAGCAGAACAGACUGAAUAAACAAGAGCUAAUCCUGAAAAUGACCUGCAAAUUCAAUCUGUGGCCAUAUCCCUAGAUUUUGAAGUCAUGUUCCUGCCUUAUAGAAAAAGAAAAGGAGAAAAAGAAGAUAUUUCUCCCUCACAGAAAAAUGAAAAGAAAAACAAUAAAGAUAUUCUUUUAUAUUGGUAAUUUGGAAUAACACAAAUCACACAAGAUAAGAUUGAAUGUGUUUAUUUCAUUGGAAAGAAAGACAGGAAGGGGACAGGAAAGAGAUAGAAAAAGAGAACAUGCUCUUCCUCCCUAUCCCGUUCUGAGUCACCCUCCUUAUUGGGAGGAAGAGCAUGAGAAGAAGACUACCACUAA